rnacentral:rRNA from 1 species
CCGAAUUCGUCGACAACCUGGUUGAUCCUGCCAGUAGUCAUAUGCUUGUCUCAAAGAUUAAGCCAUGCAUGUCUAAGUGCACGCCUUUAUACGGUGAAACCGCGAAUGGCUCAUUAAAUCAGCUAUGGUUUAUUGGAUCGUACCCGUUAAAUGGAUAACUGUAAUAACUCUAGAGCUAAUACAUGCCACGAUGCCCUGACCCGCAAGGGAAUGGGUGCACUUAUUAGAUCAGAAGCCAACCGAGUAUCAGUGCCUUGUGUACUGGUGCUUGUUGUCGUUCUGGUGACUCUGGAUAAUUGUUACAGAUCGCAGUCGGCCUUGAGUCGGCGACGGGUCCUUCAAAUGUCUGCCCUAUCAACUUUCGAUGGUAGGUGACCUGCCUACCAUGGUGAUUACGGGUAACGGGGAAUCAGGGUUUGAUUCCGGAGAGGGAGCCUGAGAAACGGCUACCACUUUCAAGGGAGGCAGCAGGCGCGCAAAUUACCCACUCCCGGUACGGGGAGGUGGUGACGAAAAAUACCGAUGCGGAUUUUUGAACGAGGCUCCGUAAUCGGAANGAGUGAACUCUAAAUCCUUUCACGAGGAUCAAUUGGAGGGCAAGUUUGGUGCCAGCAGCCGCGGUAACUCCAGCUCCAAUAGCGUAUAUUAAAGUUGCUGCAGUUAAAAAGCUCGUAGUUGGAUCUCGGUAUCACUGUUGCCUGCCUAAUCUUGGCUGUUGUGCUUGUGUGCAUGUCUGCCUAGUGUAGGCUGCCUCAGGUGUGGCAUGUUGAGUGGGUUUGGUGGCGGUGUCACCUUUUAGCCAUGUCUGUGGUGCAAUACCCACAGGUGUAUGCGGGUGUUAAGCGGUGCUCUGCAACAGUAGGGUCCGUCGGCUCGUUUGCAUGCCUCUGGAUGCCCUUUAAAAGGUGUCCUAGGGCGGAUGGCACGUUUACUUUGAACAAAUUUGAGUGCUCAAACCAGGCCGAUGUUGCCUGAAAAGUUUUGCAUGGAAUAAUGGAAUAGGACUUCGGUUCUAUUUUGUUGGUUUUCGGAUCCGAAGUAAUGAUCAAAAGAGACAGGCGGGGACGUUUGUAUGGCUGCGCUAGAGGUGAAAUUCAUGGACCGUAGCCAGACAAACUAAAGCGAAAGCAUUCGUCAAGCAUGUUUUCAUUGACCAUGAGCGAAAGUCAGAGGCUCGAAGACGAUCAGAUACCGUCCUAGUUCUGACCAUAAACGAUGCCAACUGACGAUCCGUGGUGGUAGUAAAACAACCAUCCCCACGGGCAGUCCCCGGGAAACCUUUAAUUUUUGGUUUUCGGGGGAAGUAUGGUUGCAAAGUGAAAUUAAGGGAUUGACGGAAGGCACCACCAGGAGUGGGCCUGCGGCUUAAUUCGACUCAACACGGGAAAAUCACCCGGCCCGGACACUGUGAGGAUUGACAGAUUGAUAGCUCUUUCUUGAUUUAGUGGUUGGUGGUGCAUGGCCGUUCUUAGUUGGUGGAGCGAUUUGUCUGGUUAAUUCCGGUAACGAACGAGACUCUAACCUGCUAAUUAGUGCACUUGUCCUCUGUUCCUGUGUAGGUGGCGUUUCAGUGAGACUGCCCAUUUUAGCUGCUUUCCAUAUAGCUGCCUCGUUGGCCAGUAGCAUUCGUGUUGCUAGUUGAUGUUGUAGCUGUGUUGGUUAGUGGUUUGGGUGGUUGACCUAGCGUUUACUUCCGGGUUCGGCGCAGGUGUUUACUUCUUAGAGGGACAGGCGGAUGAAGCCGCACGAAAUUGAGCAAUAACAGGUCUGUGAUGCCCUUAGAUGUCCGGGGCCGCACGCGCGCUACAAUGACGGUGCCAACGAGUCUGAUCUUCUAGCCCGAAAGGGUUGGGUAAACUGGUCAAUCACCGUCAUGACAGGGAUCGGGGCUUGGAAUUGUUCCCCGUGAACGAGGAAUUCCUAGUAAGUGCAAGUCAUAAGCUUGCGCUGAUUACGUCCCUGCCCUUUGUACACACCGCCCGUCGCUACUACCGAUUGAAUGGUUUAGUAAGGUUUUUGGAUUGGCGCCAUUGUANCAAUUUACCGUAAGGUGGCUUGCUCGACAGGUCUUGAGAAAGAUGACCAAACUUGAUCAUUUANAGGAAAGUUAAAAUCGUAACCAAGGGUUUNCGUNAANGG